rnacentral:rRNA from 1 species
GACGAACGCUGGCGGCGUGCCUAAUACAUGCAAGUUGAGCGCUGAAGGUUGGUACUUGUACCAACUGGAUGAGCAGCGAACGGGUGAGUAACGCGUGGGGAAUCUGCCUUUGAGCGGGGGACAACAUCUGGAAACGAAUGCUAAUACCGCAUAAUAACUUUAAACACAAGUUUCAAGUUUGAAAGAUGCAAUUGCCUCACUCAAAGAUGAUCCCGCGUUGUAUUAGCUAGUUGGUGAGGUAAAGGCUCACCAAGGCGAUGAUACAUAGGCGACCUGAGAGGGUGGUCGGCCAAAUUGGGACUGGGACACGGCCCAAACUCCUACGGGGAGCAGCAGUAGGGAAUCUUCGGCAAUGGACGAAAGUCUUAACGAGCAACGCCGGGGGAGUGAAGGAGGGUUUCGGAUCGGAAAACUCUGUUGGUAGAGAAGAAAGUUGGUGAGAGUGGAAAGCUCAUGAAGUGACGGUAACUAACCAGAAAGGAACGGCUAACUACGUG